AUGGCUUCUUCAAGCAUCGAUCCUCGAAUCCAUGAGGACGGUGAUGAAUCUCAGGGACCAAAAGAUGUGCAAGAAAAUGUUGCAACAAAUUGUACUGACAACAGGUUACCAAAGAUUGACAUGACAUUUUUAUCGGAAGAGGAGGCCUACUCAUUUUAUAACAAAUAUGCAAAAGCUAUUGGUUUUAGCAUCCGAAGAGGGAGUCACCAUAAAGUGAAGAAUACUACUGUAAUACAACAACGGACAUUUACGUGCUCCCGUCAAGGAUUCCAUGCUGAAGAUAGCAGAGAGGAUUCUUUCAGUUACGGUAGGCCCGAAACACGAUGUGGUUGUCAAGCCCAUAUGAAGAUAAGUCUCAAAAAUGGAUUAUAUUAUGUGUACGAAUUUGAGGCAGCACAUAACCAUCCUCUUGCUACUGGAGACAUGGCCCUAUACUUAAGAUCCCAAAGGAAAGUCACAGAAGCACAAAUAGCAAACGCUGAAGUCGCAAAGUCUGUGGGCAUUUCAAAUAAAGCAACUAUAGAUCUUAUGGCCAAAGAAGCAUGUGGACUUCCAAAUCUUGGGUUUGCACCCGAAGAUAUGAAAAAUCGUUUGUACUCUAAGAGAACACUGCAAGCAAAGAAAGGAGACACAGGGGGGGUGUUAGAAUACAUGGAGAAGAAGGUAAAAGAAGAUGCCAAUUUUUUCUAUUCAAUUCAAGUUGAUGAGCAUGAUCUGAUAACUAAUAUUUUCUGGGCUGAUUCGAAAAUGAUAUCAGACUAUGCAAUGUUUGGUGAUGUUAUAUGCUUUGACACCACAUAUAGGAAACUAGAUGAUGGGCGUCCCUUUGGUUUGAUUGUUGGGGUGAAUAAUCACAAGAAAACCAUGGUCUUUGGUGCUACACUUCUCUAUGAUGAAACUGCUGAAAGUUUUGGUUGGCUUUUUAGAACAUUUCUAACAGCUAUGUCUGGGAAACAUCCAAGGACUAUUCUGACCGAUGAAGAUGCAGCAAUGGCCAAGGCAAACAGUAAAGUCCUUCCUCAGUCUCACCAUAGACUUUGUGUGUGGCAUAUGAAUCAAAAUGCUUGCAAGCACCUUGCUGGGGUUGUUGAAGAAUAUAAGAAGUUCAAUGCCGAUUUCCAGGAUUGCAUCUAUGAUAUUGAGGAAGAAGACGAUUUUAUAAAUGAAUGGAAUAGAAUGCUAGACAGAAUGUUUAUCCACAUAGCUGCUCGCGCCGCAGAGUCCGAUGAAACAUAUGAUAUGGCUGCUAAAUGUGCAGAGCAGCUAGCACGAGAUGUAGAGCAAAGCUUGAAAAUUAGAGUUGAUCCAGACCCAAAUCCAGAUUUGGGUGACUCCUCUGUUUCGCAAGGUCUGAACAUCGACUCUACUAGAGUUUCAAAGCAUAACGAGGGGCUUCACAUGCCAAGAGGUAUGAAGGUCAAGGAGAAGACUGGUCAAUUCAGAGAAAAUAUUGUACCAGGAUCAGCAAGACCCGCUGAUGGCUUGGAGAAAGCAAAAACAAAGAAGAAAAAGAAGACAGUCAAUUCUUUACAAGAAGGACCUGAAAUACCUUUGACAAACCAAAUGCCUGGGUAUUUACCACAGUACAAUCCAACCCAAAUGGUUCAACUGGGAGCUCCGCCAAGUCAUGCUUACCCCUAUUUAGCACAUUACAACUCAAGUCUGCAACAAUCCAUUGGUCUGUCGACCCCUACGAUGAUGCCAGGACAAAAUAUAUUAUUCUUCCAACAACAGACUCCUACCAGUGGUACUUCUACCCCUAUGAUAAUGGCAGGACAGAAUCUACCAUUCUUCCAACAACAGAAUCCUACCAUUGGUACCUGUAGCCCUACGAUGAUGCCAGGACAGAAUCUAUCAUUCUUUCAACAGCAGACUCCUACCAGUGGUACUUCUACCCCUAUGAUGAUGCCCGGACAGAAUCUGUCAUUUCUCCAGCAACAAAAUCCUACCGUUGGUACCUCAACCCCGACGAUGAUCCCAGGACAAAAUCUACCAUUCUCCCAACAACAAAAGCCAGCUUAA
rnacentral:rRNA from 1 species